CAUUUUGGUUCAGAAAGCUGAGCAUUCUCUGCUUCUUGAAGCGCCAAUGUAGGGCAUCAUUCUUGUUCAGAAAGCUGAGCAUUCCUUUGUUUAUGCAAGUGAUUUAUUGUGUCGUUAAUGUCCUUCUUCCAAAUCAUUUUACCUCGUUCUCCCAUUGGAAUUGCUUUCGGUAGCCUUGGCACGCUUACAACUCCACGAGCAAAAACACUCAUCCUGGGGCAAUGUGUCACAGCUAGUGCUACCAAAGAUGGGAAUUUGAUGGUGCAACUUGUCAUUGAGCAGAAGCUGGUGAGGCUUUCUAAGCAAUGAAGCGUUAUACUUUUCAAUUUGCUGAAAAC
rnacentral:misc_RNA from 1 species